UACGUAGGGGGCGAGCGUUGUCCGGAAUCACUGGGCGUAAAGCGCGCGCAGGCGGUCUCUUAAGUCUGAUGUGAAAGCCCACGGCUCAACCGGUGAGCGGCAUUUGAAACUGUAUAUCUUGAGUUCAGGAGAGGAGAGCGGAAUUCCUGGUGUAGCGGUGGAAUGCGUAGAUAUCAGGAAGAACACCAGUGGCGAAGGCGGCUCUCUGGCCUGAAACUGACGCUCAGGUACGAAAGCUGGGGGAGCGAACAGG
rnacentral:rRNA from 1 species